UAGGGAAUCUUCCGCAAUGGGCGAAAGCCUGACGGAGCAACGCCGCGUGAGUGAUGAAGGUCUUCGGAUCGUAAAACUCUGUUAUUAGGGAAGAACAAACGUGUAAGUAACUAUGCACGUCUUGACGGUACCUAAUCAGAAAGCCACGGCUAACUACGUGCCAGCAGCCGCGUUAAUACGUAGGUGGCAAGCGUUAUCCGGACUUAUUGGGCGUAAAGCGCGCGUAGGCGGUUGUUUAAGUCUGAUGUGAAAGCCCACGGCUCAACCGUGGGGGGUCAGUGGAAACUUGAAAACUAGAGUGAAGAAGAGGAAAGUGGAAUUCCAUGUGUAGCGGUGAAAUGCGGAGAGAUAUGGAGGAACACCAGUGGCGAAGGCGACUUUCUGGUCUGUAACUGACGCUGAUGUGCGAAGGCGUGGGGAUCAAACAGG
rnacentral:rRNA from 1 species